rnacentral:rRNA from 1 species
UACGUAGGUGGCAAGCGUUGUCCGGAAUUAUUGGGCGUAAAGCGCGCGCAGGCGGUCCUUUAAGUCUGAUGUGAAAGCCCACGGCUCAACCGUGGAGGGUCAUUGGAAACUGGGGGACUUGAGUGCAGAAGAGAAGAGCGGAAUUCCACGUGUAGCGGUGAAAUGCGUAGAGAUGUGGAGGAACACCAGUGGCGAAGGCGGCUCUUUGGUCUGUAACUGACGCUGAGGCGCGAAAGCGUGGGGAUCAAACAGG